ensembl:misc_RNA Metazoa_SRP Metazoan signal recognition particle RNA
GCCAGGCAUGGUGGCGCAUGCCUGUAAUCCCAGCUACUCAGGAGGCUGAGGCAGGAGAAUUGCUUGAACCCGGGAGGCAGAGGCUGCAGUGAGCCAAGAUUGUGCCACUGCACUCUAGCUUGGGCGACAGAGCAAGACUCUAUCUCAA